AGUAAACUAACUCAGUAUUAAUUUUUAACUUAGCCUGUCAUACAUCAGUGUCUGCUGCUUUUGGAGAAUUCCCCCUUUGAUGUUUGUUUGUUUGUUUGUUUGUUUGUUUUCUUCUUUUUUUUAAUACAUACUGUUCAUUGAAGCUUCAAUUACCAAAUGCUUAAAUUUAGCAUUUUGAAAUAAAUGUUUUUAACUAUAGAUAAAUUCAUUACAUGUAUCAAUCUAAACAAGUGGAUUUCAAUUAUGGUCCUAAGGGAUGUCAUUAAGAACAAACUGUUUUUAUGAGACUUUAUAUUUUAAACUUUUGAAGGUCAGAGAUGCUGAAAGAGCAACUCCAGUAAAAGAGGAGCGUAGAGAGCAGAGGUGAUGAAAUCCCCCGGCCUGUGGAUUAUUUGACCAAGAUGCCACCUGACCUUACAUCCUCUGGCAGAUCCUGAUGGGAGUCGUUACAAAGAGGACUAUAUGGCUUUAUGGUGACUUUCACUUACAUGCAAGGUUUUCAGAGACGUUUUCAGCAAGCCCAAGUUCAGAGAAAAGGUCCCCUUUGUAUGUCCAAACAGUGUUGCGAACUGGAGUGCAUUUUCCAGACAAUAUGGGCAAGAGCUCCGGGUGCCUUACUCGUUGACUUUGAAAUAUACAAGGACUGCCCACCUGGAUAUGUAGGUGAUGGCAGAAGGGGAGUCCUGAAUGGGUUUUAUUCCGACAAGGAGGUUCAGGGCUAUUGCUCAUUUGAUUGUUUUUUCAAUGAUGGAGGGGAACUUCAGGCUGUGUAGAUUGUGUGUGUACGGUUAAUGUACGUGAUUAUCUGUAUGUGUGUAUUAUGUCUUUUAAACAAUUAUUUUUGUUUUGAAAUAAAAGUUAUCACUGGUA